rnacentral:rRNA from 1 species
GAGCAGAGUGACAGGUGGUGCAUGGUUGUCGUCAGCUCGUGUCGUGAGAUGUUGGGUUAAGUCCCGCAACGAGCGCAACCCUUGAUCUUAGUUGCCAUCAUUAAGUUGGGCACUCUAAGGUGACUGCCGGUGACAAACCGGAGGAAGGUGGGGAUGACGUCAAAUCAUCAUGCCCCUUAUGACCUGGGCUACACACGUGCUACAAUGGACGGUACAAAGAGCUGCAAGACCGCGAGGUGGAGCUAAUCUCAUAAAACCGUUCUCAGUUCGGAUUGUAGGCUGCAACUCGCCUACAUGAAGCUGGAAUCGCUAGUAAUCGCGGAUCAGCAUGCCGCGGUGAAUACGUUCCCGGGCCUUGUACACACCGCCCGUCACACCACGAGAGUUUGUAACACCCGAAGU